GGCCUCACUCUAGUUGCGGCUGUUAAGCAGCCCCCCGAGGGCUGUUUGGCGCCCAGGGGCCUCAUGUUCUGUGAACCGUUUUCGCAGCUCCGUGCUGCCCAGGCUCCUUUGGCCGCCCUUCCGACCUUGCUAAGCUUAAGGUGCUUAAGGCCUCCUGGCACCUGGGGGUGAUGCUGCACCCCGCGGCCUCCAUUCCCGGGGGCCCAUCAUUUCCAGGCUGUCUCGGAGCCGGCUCUGUGGGCGCCUCUGUAACAUCGGGCCUGCAGGAGAGCCGUCCCUGACUGUCCUUGUGGGGCGGACCUCCUGCUCACCAGGCAGUCAUGCCUUUGGGGGAUGGUGUGUCUGGCAGGCCCACCUCGGCAUGUGUCUUCUGGUGGGUGCCCUGGCCGCAGCGACACCUCCCCCGUGCUCCCACGGCUGGCCUCCACGGAGCCGUAAGUGGCACGUCUCCAUGGCCAGCACCCAUUGCAAACUAAAUGGUCGACCUUCCAACCUCAUCUGUUGUCAGUUCUAGAAGCAACUGUAUGUUUCUGCUCCUCAUGUGACCUCACGUGGUCUUCAGUCAUCGGGUGUCUGAUGCUUAUUCCUUCAUAAGUUCCGUAGGAAGGACUCAUAGGAAUGUUACUCCCUGAGUUCUUCCAUGUUAGAGCCGAGGGCCAGUUUUGCUGGGUCGUAAGUUCUUGGCUCACAUGUUCUCCCUUUGGAUUUCUGAAGUACACGCCUCACUCUGGCAUGAGGCGUUAUGUCAAAAGUCUAGUGAGCACUUUAUUUCUUUUUAAAGUCACAUGCCUUUAUUUAUUUAUUUGUUUGUUUUGGCCUAAAUGCUCAGAGGAGUUUUUCUUUGCUUUAAAGUCGAGUCAUUUUGCUAAGAUACCCCUUGGAGUGGGUUGUCCUGUGUGAGUGAUCUCAGGUGCGUGGUGUGCUCUUCCACGGUGAGGGCCUGGGGUGGUUUUCCUUUCGUUGUGAACAGAACACCCAUCUCGGAGGAAAUAAGGGUUCUGACCCAGAUUAGGCGUUUUGUGGUUUGACUUCAUCCUGGGCAUCGUCUCUGCUGAUAGUCCCUGGCUCUGGGCCUGCGGCCACCCUGCACCGAGGAAAGGUCUUUUCGCAGGCGGUGGGGUAGGUCGGCGUGUCCAGUCCUCUGACCCUUAAAACAACACAGAUUGUGUCAUUCACUUUUCCAUUCAUUUAUCCAACAAAACUUAGCGAGUCUCAGUUAUGUGCCAGCCGCUGUUCUAGACGCUGAGAAAGCAAUCGUGGCUGUCUGCAUUGUGGCUCAGCAGGUUAAGAACCCGGCACAGUGUCUGCGAGGAUGUGAAUUUGAUCUCUGGCCCUGCUCGGUGAGUUAAGGAUCUGGUGUUGCUGCAAGUUAUGGCACAGGUCGCAGACGUGGCCGGAUCUGGCGUUGGCUGUGGCUGUGGUGUAGGCUGGCAGCUGCAGCUCCGAUUCAACCCCUCACCUGGGAACUUCAUAUGCUGCAGGUGCAGCCCUAAAAGGAAUGAAAAGAAAGCACUUGUGAGCAAAUACUAGACAGCGAGGGGCAUUCCUUCAAAGUAACCGAGGUAAAGGGAGAGGCGGGAGUACAGAGGAGGUCAGCUCGGCCUGGAGUUUCUAACUGGUGAACUGGGUGAGGUGCGUUAUGCCAGUUUCUCUACUUUGGUGUGUUUGAAACUUUCCAUAAUAAAAAGAUUUUAAGAUACAUACAGUUCUUGCCUCUAGGCAGUUUGCGGUCUGCUGCAGAGGUAGUUACUAAUUUUUUUUUUUUUUGUCAGGACCAUUUAUUUAUUUAUUUAUUUUUGUCUCUUUGCGAUUUCUUGGGCCGCUCCCGCGGCAUAUGGAGGUUCCCAGGCUAGGGGUCUAAUCGGAGCUCCACCGGCCUACACCAGAGCCACAGCAAUGCGGGAUCCGAGCCGCAUCUGCGACCUACACCACAGGUCACGACAACGCCGGAUCGUUAACCCACUGAGCAAGGGCAGGAAUUGAACCCGCAACCUCAUGGUUCCUAGUCGGAUUCGUUAAGCACUGCGCCAUGGUGGGAACUCCUAGUUAUUAAUUUUUAAACUCACACAGAGGUCGGGCUGCAACCGUGAAAGUUGUGGGAAGACCCACAUGCCAUGAGCCUCCAGGAGGGGCUGGGCCUGGUCAGGGGGCCAGCAGGACUUCCCUGAGGUUAAAGGCGGGUGCUCACUGGGCAGACGCAGAGGGAGGGAGGGAAGAAACUUCUGGGCGGAGGGAGCAACCUCCUGCCAGGUGUGUGCUGGGCAGGUGCGUGGAGCCCAUAGGACUCACCGGCAGGCUUGCGGCUGGAGCAGAGGCUGGCGGGGAGCGCUUGCUGGAGCCCAGCUGUGCUCCACUGAGGCCACCUGGAGGGGUUUUGUCUUUGCCAUCGAGCCCUGAGAGGUCCUGCAAAGGUCUCGCGGGGGAGGGUGACACCUCAGCGUGGCAUUUGGAGGAAGGCACACGGACCUUCCAGCCAGGGGCCAAAGGAGAGGUGAGCGUGGCUUGGCCGCGGCAGCAGGUUGGAGGGCAGAUCUCAGGGUUGCCUCCGGCAGGAUGACAGGACCUGGGGGCGACUGAUGUGGGCGGGGAAGGUUGUCGCCUGUCUCCUAGGCCUUGGGGUGCGUGUUCCACAGCCUGGAGCCCAGCCUGGUGCAAGUGUGCGUGGGAGCCGGGGCCGCCCUCGAGCUCUGGGACCGUCCUCUACUCUCCUGACCCGGCAGGAGGCCGCCCGGCUGCGGAGGGAACCUCUGGACCUCGCCGUUCCUCCCUGCCUGCUGGUUGGCUCUGCCUUUCCUUCCGCCUGGGUCAGGCCCCGAACACGUCUGUUCAGGCUUGGGUCACAGCGAUCUCAGCUUCCGAGCGAGGCUUAUCGUGGGCUCUGACCUUUAACUCAGGCUUCAUGCGUGGAACGGCUCCAGCAACCUCGGAACUGCAGGGUUGGCUGCCGAGAGCUCAAAGGCGACCCCAAAGCCGGGCCACGGCCUUCCUGGGCCAGGCUCUAUGCUCCUUUCCAUCUUGGUUCCAACUCUUGGCUCCUGAUCUGCUCUGCCUGGUAAAUUCUGUCCUGGGGGCAGGCGGCACCGUCCCCGCCUUGUGGGACCUCCUGGGCCGGAGGGCUCUUUGGAGCCUUAUAUAUCCUUGGUCCAAGAUGUUACUGUUGUCAGUGAGGCUGCACCCGCGAGACAAAAUG
rnacentral:lncRNA from 1 species